AGGAUAUUUUCAAUCCACAGUUGGUUGCAGAACCUGCAGAUACAGAGGACUGACUAUACUUUCAAGAUUCAAGUGGUCAGAGCUGAGUGACUGGAGGCUGCACUGGUGGUGAUGGAAGGAGAUAAGAGAAUAAUGACCUAAAACUUAACAUUGGUCCCUGCAAUCAAAGUUUUAAUAUGAAAAACCAAGUACAUGGCUCUGAAAUUCCAGAAUUCCUUGGUGUGGAGUCAGGACUAGGAAGAAUCACAGCCAAAAACUACUAACAGUAACUCCCAUAGCAAUGCUCUAUAUCUAAGAUGUAGAUACAUCCAUGAUAUAUACACUCUGGAGUGGUUUAUGAAGAGGCACUUAGAACCAUUCAUAAAGACAAUAAAUGAUAGUGCAAGGCAGCCGGACUCAAUGGCCAGGAGGGGAGUUAGCAGUGAGUGCUCCUGGGCAGAUACUGAGGCUGGGUGGGCAGAAAGUAUGGGAGGGGGGCUAAGGGAGCCCUCAGUGGGCCUGGGUGAUAGUGUCCUCAGAAUUUUCACUUCUGCAGUUUGACUGUCUCUAAGGGAAGUUUGGACGAUAAAGACAGCAUCUCUGGGUAAGAGGUAAGACACCAGACCAGUGUCCUUCAGGUCCGGGCCCCCCACAGAACAACAGCCGGGAAAUUGUACUGUUACUGCAGGCAGAGCAAUGAAAAUUCCAUUCCAGAAACGUGUCCCUUGGGAAUUUAGGUACUGGCCACUCGCUCACUGUUCAAUGGUAGCAGAUAUUUCAGUCGAGGCAGCUCAGUGCUUCGCAUGCAUAGACAGGCUGCUUUCCACUUUGCCACCCAAGAAGCACCUGGAAACGUGGGGUGUGUGUGUGUGUGUGUGUGUGUGUGUGUGUGUGUGUGUGUCUGUGUGUAGAGGCUACUGGUAUAAAGUGUCCAGGACCAGAGAUGCUUAAUGAAAUGCAAGCUCCGUUCCUCAGAGCCAAUAUGGACUCCACUAUAAAACAAUAUGCUUUGGACCCUGUCAAGAGGAAAUUCCCUUAAAAGAACUAAAUAUACUUUAAGUUGGUUUCAGUUUGAAUAGUUAUAUUCCAAUGUUUUCUGCUUUUAAAUUUAAAAGCUCUUAAAGUUAGAAACUACAGAUUAGCAUAAACAAAAUGAUCAAUAUAAUCCUUAUUUGUACUAUUUAUUAAUAUGUUGGUAUCUAUUAAUAUGUCAAUGUCUUUUCAUUUAUGAAAAUAAGACAAAAUUACACUAUAUUUUUAGUCAGUUCUUUUUAAUUACUGCAUUGUGAAUAAUCUUCAUUGUCUUUUGUAUAUAAUACUUAGUUGCUGCCUAAUACGGUAUUUUAUGGCUGUACCAUUGUUUAUCCUCCAUUUUUAAAUAGC